rnacentral:rRNA from 1 species
UGGGGAAUAUUGGACAAUGGGGGCAACCCUGAUCCAGCCAUGCCGCGUGAGUGAUGAAGGCCUUCGGGUUGUAAAGCUCUUUUGGCGGGGACGAUGAUGACGGUACCCGCAGAAUAAGCCCCGGCUAACUUCGUGCCAGCAGCCGCGGUAAGACGAAGGGGGCUAGCGUUGUUCGGAAUUACUGGGCGUAAAGCGAGUGUAGGCGGUUGCCGUAGUCAGGUGUGAAAGCCUUGAGCUCAACUCAAGAAAUGCACUUGAUACUGGGUGACUAGAGGACCGGAGAGGAUAGUGGAAUUCCCAGUGUAGUGGUGAAAUACGUAGAGAUUGGGAGGAACACCAGUGGCGAAGGCGGCUAUCUGGNCGGUUACUGACGCUAAGACUCGAAAGCGUGGGGAGCAAACAGGAUUAGAUACCCUGGUAGUCCACGCCGUAAACGAUGGGUGCUAGACGUUGGCGAGCUUGCUCGUCAGUGUCGCAGCUAACGCGUUAA